CCCCUGGGAAGAUCUCGUGUUGCUUCCCU
rnacentral:rRNA from 1 species